ensembl:misc_RNA Metazoa_SRP Metazoan signal recognition particle RNA
GCCGGGCGCGGUGGCAUGUGCCCGUAUUCCCAGCUACUCGGGAUGCUGAGGUGGGAGGAUCGCUUGAGCCCAGGAGUUCUGGGCUGCAGUGCGCUAUGCCGAUCGUGUGUCCGCACUAAGUUCGGCAUCAAUAUGGUGACCUCCCGGGAGCGGGGGACCACCAGGUUGCCUAAGGAGGGGUGAACCGGCCCAGGUCGGAAGCGGAGCAGGUCAAAACUCCCAUGCUGAUCAGUAGUGGGAUCGCGCCUGUGAAUAGCCACUGCACUCCAGCCUGGGCAACAUAGCAAGACCCCGUCUCU